CAGAGCAAUAAUCGUGACAAGUAAUUGUUUCCCCCCUGUGUGUGGAGAAAUACGAACGUUGGAAGUGUGACACCACAAAACCCGGACAGGAAGGUCUGCAUCUCCCUUUCAGUCACAACCUGGCCACAGCUUCUCCAUCUGUCCCCUAGGCUCUGAUGCAGCAGACACAGCUGACCAGCUGAACUGCAGGUCACCAAGCAGGAGCCAGCACUACUCUGAAGUUUCUCACGUGACUUGUGCUCAGAAGAAAAGUGCAUCAUGUGCAUGCUCAGGAGAGAAACCUGGAGGGGUCUGGCAGUACCUGAAUUCCCACAGUCAGAUGGACAUGUUUUGCCUGUUUCUCUUCCUGUCUCUUCACACAUAUCCCUCAAGGUACAGUGCUUUGUUCUGUAUGGUCAUUGUAAUCUAUCAUAAACCCAGAUUGCCACUUAGAUGGGUAGCCCCAGAUUUCCUGUUGUACCUGUGAUUGACUGCUCAUUCCCUGCUUCCUUGCUCCACCACCCACAUUUCUGUAAUGACAGGGUCCGAGAAUCAUGGAACUGAUCCAUCUGUAAACUACUUCAAGGGAAAAAGGUAACACCUGGGAACACAACAGACUUAUUUUGAGGCCCGAGUGACUGGAAAGAGAAUCAAGACAAUGCUGUAGAUGGGCUCCUGGAUCCAGCUGCCCUGUUGUGGGGUAGGCAAGGCAUUCUUAAGAGAACUCUGUCAGAGCUUGAGAUAAGCACAGAAUACUGAACAAAUCUACAAAGCUUGUUUGUAGGUGGACCCUUCAUGAUAAUCUGGCAUUCACACAGAAAUCUGAAAUACCAGGUUUUCCUUUUAAAAAUUAUUUAUCUUCAUUUCUGAAGUAAUAGAAGUGUAAGUAUAAGGAUUAAAUUAAAAAUAAAUGAAAACAACUGAUGCAUGAGUGCACUCUGGCAAACAAACAAACCAACCAAGUUCCCAAAGCCUGAUAGGGACAUUGCUGAAGGUGAGAAGAUUACUGAGUAAACACCAAUUGCUGGCUUUUCCUUACAAGAAGUCUGUUACAGCAGGUAACUGGAAGCCUUUAUAUGGUAAACAGCAACAUUUACUUUUCUGUGUCUGUAGCCUGACCUGAGGUCUCUGCAGAGGUCUCUGUCAAAAGAUUAAUUUUUAGCCUGAUUUCCUAAGGAAAGAAGGCUUAUGCAAUUACUCUAUAUUAGUGUUUCUGCCUCUGGGUCCCAUUACUUCCCCCACUUUCCUUGCCAAUAAAAGCAUGUUUAAACCA